rnacentral:lncRNA from 1 species
AUGGCAGCUUUGUUCUCCGUGCUGUGCGCCGACAGGUUCCAGAGCGCGCUCAGGACACUCUUCAGGGUGGAUUCCUGCCGGGGAGGAGGAGGCGUCAGCCCCGGCCGUGCCGCGGGUCCCGCUCCCACCCCUGCCUCUCCUCACCUUGGCCGCGUGCAGCGCGCACUGCGUCAGCCCCGCCACGCUGCCCACCUCCCGCAGCACCUUCUUGCUGUUGAUGUCGGCCCUCCAGGAGAGGUUCCUCAGGAUGCUCGAGACCACCUGGGAGGGCAGCAGAGCGGGGUGCAUGGGCACGGGCACCGUCCCCACCGUGGGCACCGUCCCCGUACCCCCCUAAGACAUCCCCACCGGUGGCACCCACCUGGUGCAGCUCCUCGCUGUCGGAGGCCAGCUGGGCCACGAUGGCCUCCAUGCAGCCCCGGCGGGCGCAGAGCGUUGCCUGCGGUGAGGAUGAGUGCGGUGAGCACGGUGCUGCCCCGGCCCCGCUCCCCACCCCGCUGCCCCCCCCCCGCAGACCUUGUUGACCACGUCCCCAAAGGUGAGGUUGGUGAGCGCCAUGCCCGCGUAGCGCCGCAGCGCCAGGUUCAGGGGGUCGCUCGUCAUCUUGUGCAUCUCGUAGUCCACCUGCAGCAGCUCGGCCACCGCCUGCAGCCCACCUGGGGGAUGGGACACGGGGUCAAAAAGCCACCCCGGACUCCCCCCAUCCCAGCAUUGCUGAUUUUACCCCCAUCCAGCCCCGCGCUCACCCAGCUCGUUCAUGGCCCGCCGGUACUCCUCGUCGAAGGAGAGCUUCAUGAUGGCACAGGUGGCCUGGCAGAUCUGGGGCUCGAUGGGCACCGGUGCUGCGGGGAGAGCAGGGGUGAGCUGGGGGGGGUCCAACACACGCCUCCAUCCCCUCCUCCCCCAGCACACACCGACACGUGUGGCUGCGUGCCCCGCACACGCCUGUUCACACUCGUACCCGUGCACCCCCCCCGCCCAGCCCUGCAGCAGCCCCGUACCUGCGCUGCCCUCUGGCCCCUUGCCCCCGUCCCUGCUCUGCAUCUGCAGCCAGUCCCAGCAGGUCUCCGAGUAGGAGCGGAUCUGCUCCAGCACGUGCAGCACCCGCAUCUCCUUCUUGGCCUGCCCCUCGUCGGGCUGCGAGAAGACGAUGUUGUGCAGGGCGGCGUUGGCGCGCAUGCGGGCGUCCUUGGCACCGGCGGGGCUCUCGGGGGGGCCCGGCUCGCGGUCGGUGUCGUGCAGGAUUUGGAUGAGCAGGGGCAGGCAGCCCGACUUGCGCAUGGCCAAGCAGCUCUCCUGCGAGCUGGACAUGGCCAGCAGCGUGCGCGACAUGUCGUCCUUGUCCCGCGUGGCCAGCAUGGACAGGAGCCAGAAGACCACCUCCACCUGUGUGUGCAUGAGUGGGGGGGUCAGGUCAGGCGCUGCCACGGCCCCCCCCGGCUCCCCCCCAGCACGGCCGCCCCUCACCUUGCUGCUGCCCCCGUCCUCGGGGUGCGUGGGGAUCUCCAUGGUGCUGUCCCCCUCCGUGCCCGGCAGCUUCCCGCAGAGCUGCAGAGGCCGGGAUGGUGA